UUCACUCUAUUGUUAUCGAUUAUGUAUUCAAUCAUUUGUAUUCAUACAAGUUCUUAAAUUAUCCAAACAUUGUUUAUCAACACAGUAUUAUUGUAUAAUCCAGAUAUUUAUUCUGUUCGUUAAUUUCUAAAUAUGGCUAUACAAGUGUCCCCACUUGGAUAAUCAUUAUAUUUAAUCACAUGUUGAUACAUACUUAUUGAUUUCCAGUAUAUAUACGUUGACUUAAAAGCCAUAUAAGCUAUUUGAUUUGGCUAGACACAAACUUAAAAUUUUGUUGAACAAGAUAGAACUCUAUUAUUAUCCAACCGAAUUGUUUUGGUUCGGAUUCCCGACUAAGAAUGAACAUCUCGUACAUGGUAAAACUUUUGUGCGCUAAAGGCAGAUAAGAUGAACGAUAAUAUCAUUCUUGCAUGUAGUAUUGAUCAAUAUAGGGCAUAACGGGCUGUUCACCCCCCGUGCCUGUAAGUUAUGAC
rnacentral:lncRNA from 1 species